rnacentral:rRNA from 1 species
GAGCUCAAAUUUUGAAUCUGGCGGUCUUUAGGCCGUCCGAGUUGUAAUCUAGAGAAGCGUCUUCCGCGCUGGACCGUGUAUAAGUUUCCUGGAAAGGAACGUCGUAGAGGGUGAAAAUCCCGUCUUUGACACGGACUCCCAGGGCUAUGUGAUGCGCUCUCGACGAGUCGAGUUGUUUGGGAAUGCAGCUCAAAUAGGGUGGUAAAUUCCAUCUAAAGCUAAAUACAGGCGAGAGACCGAUAGCGAACAAGUACCGUGAGGGAAAGACGAAAAGAACUUUGGAAAGAGAGUUAAACAGUACGUGAAAUUGCUGAAAGGGAAACGCUUGAUGUCAGUCGCGUUGGCCGGGGAUCAGCCUUGCUUAAUCGCGAGGCGUACUUCCUGGUCGACGGGUCAGCAUCAGUUUUGACCGUCGGAAAAGGGCUUGAGGAAAGUGGCACUCUCUCGGGAGUGUGUUAUAGACUCGGGUCUUGAAUACGAUGGUUGGGACUGAGGAACUCAGCACGGCCCUUUGGGUAUCGGGGCUUCGGCCCACGUUCGCGUGCUUAGGAUGCUGGCAUAAUGGCCUUAAGCGACCCGUCUUGAAACACGGACCAAGGAGUCUAACAUGCAUGCGAGUGUUUGGGUGAUAAAAACCCGAGCGCGUAAUGAAAGUGAAAGUCGAGACCUCUGUCGUG